UGCAGGCCUCACAUCUGGGAUCAAGGGGCAAAUGCAGGGUGGGUAAAGAGCAGGGGGCAGCCUGGAACACCCGAGGCUGUGUGAGGCCACACUCAGUGGGGUCCACUCUGUGCUGGAGACCAUUUUCUGCCCCCCUCCCCAUUUCGUCCUGGACCAAUCCUUGUAUAAAGGACAAUAUAAGUGAAUUACUGGGAAAAUAAUAAUAAUAAAGGCAUCUUUAUUAUUUGAUUCAAUGAACAUAAGAUUACUCUGUCAACUUGCUAUGCAGUUUCUGAACAUCACUUUCAACAUCUAUAUGUAUGUUACUGCAGACUGCAAAGCAUAUGAGGACCGCAACAGUCCGUGCUGUGAAUAACUCCGUCCUAUGGCAUUUUCUGUUCUUAAUGAAAACUCUUCAGAGCCCUGUCUCCUCAGAUGAUUUGUCCUGCAUUUCAGACUCACUAAGGGGAACUGGGGAAAGGCCACGGGACUCUGGUUGGAAUCCAUGAAAUCUGCCUUUCCUAUGAUAGCGUGCAUGUAAAAUUGUAAGGACAAUAGAAUCAUUCCAAACGACGUAUGCAACCACUCAGGCAGUAAAGCGUUGCUUCCCACCUCUUAAGGGUGGACUGUGCUUAGAGGUGUUCUUCCAAAGGGUACAGUAUGGAAGCAGGGGAACAGGAAAGAAACUUGGCCACAGAGAAGCCUGGUAAACACUUCCUUAGCCAGGUCGUCACAGUUAACCUCUUCAGUGGUUCAGUUCAGUUGAGAACACGUACCUUUGAUACGUUGUGUCGAGAAGGGCAAUUCACCUCUGUGGUACUCCUCCCCAAAGCUCAUAACCUCAGUCGCUAGGUGGUGUCCAGUGCUUUGUGACCCCAUGAACUGCAGCACGCCAGGCUUCCCUGUCCUUCACUAUCAUCCUGAGUUUGCCCAAAUUCAUGUCCAUUGGAGUCGGUGAUGCCAUCCAACCAUCUCAUCCUCUGUCACCCCCUUCUUUUUGUGUGUGUGUGUCACCCCUUCUUUUGCUUUCAAUCUUUCCCAGCAUCAGGGUCUUUUCCAAUGAGUCAGUCUUUGCAUCAGGUGGCCAAAUAUUAGAGCUUUAGCUUUACCAUCAUUCCUUCCAAUGAAUAUUCAGGGUUGAUUUCCUUUAGGAUUGACUGGUUUGAUCUUGCUGUCCAAGGGACUCUCAAGAGACUUCUCUAGCACCACAAUUUGAAAGCAUCAAUUCUUCAGCACUCAGCCUUCUUUAUGGUCAAGCUUUCAUGGUCCAAUCCCAGUCUAACCAUGAGAAAAACAUCAGACAAACUCAAAUUGAGACACAGUCUACAGAAUAUUGAUCCUCAAUCAUCCUCAAGAUGGGGGUCAAUUAGAAGCAGGGAAGCUCUGAGAAACUGUCACAACCCCAAGAAGCCAAAGCAGACAAGAUGACUCAAUGUGUAUCACAGUGGAUUGAAUUUUGUCUCCCCCCAAAAGCUAUGUUCAAAUGCCAGCCCUCACUACCUGUGAAUCUGACCUUCGUUGGAAGUAGGAUUUUACAGAUGUAAUUAGGUUAAGGACCUCAAGAUGAGAUUAUCCUGGAUUUACAGUGAGCCCUAAAUUCAAUGACUGGGUGUCUUUAUAAGAGAAAGGACAGGGGAGUUUGAAGCACACAGGCCCAGAGAUGUACAAAGAAGGUAGUAGAAAGAUGGCCACAGAGAUCAGCAUCGAGCUCCAAGAUAUAGCCCACCCCAAGCCAAGGAGCACCUGGGGCCCCUGGAAGCUGGAAGAGGCAGGAAGGGUUCUCCCCUAGAGGCUUCGGGGGAGGGUACCCUGCACACUUAGGACUGCUAGCCUCUGGAACUCCAGAGACUACAUUUCUGUUGUUUUCAGCCACUAAAUUUGUGGUGAUUUGUUCCAGAAACCCUAAGAAACUGAUCCAGUAUCUUGCAUGGGAUACUGGGAUGGAAAAAUUCUAUUAGGGAAAAACUCAUGAAAUCCAAAUAAAGUGUGGAGUAUAAGUUAAAAACAUAUUAAUAUUUAUCUAUCAGUUGUGAUAAUAGAUCAUAGUAACUGGGAGAGGAAACUGGGCGGGGGGAUCUAUAGGAUUCAUGGGAACUCUAUACAGCCUUUCUGUAAAUCUAAAACUAUUUUAAAAUUAAAAAAUUUUUAAACUGCAUGGGAUGGGCUUCCCUGGUGGCUCAGUGGUAAAGAAUCCACCUACCAGUGCAAGGAACACGAGUUCGAUCCCUGGUCUGGGAAGACCCCACAUGCCACAGAGCAACUAAGCCCAUGUGCCACAAAUACCAAGCCAGAACUCUAGAGCCUGGAAGUCGCAGCUACUGAAGCCCCCUCAUCCUAGACCCCGUGCUCUGCAAUAAGAGCAGCCCCCACAAUGAGAAACCCUCACAACUAGAGAGUAGCCCCCUCUUGCUGCAGCUAGAGAAAAGGCCACGGAGCAAUGAAUACCCAGCACAGCCAAAUAAAUAAUUGCAUGGGAAAAACCCUGCUUGGACACAGAGUUUUUGUAACUUGUAAUUCAGCCCAGGGGUAGCUCUGUCCUAGACAAUACUUGUUCCAGCCGGCAGAGCAUCAAGGUCUGUGAGUCAAUCAAUGAGCCCCAUUUACUCUUUUUCCAUUGAUUCAUUCUGCUCUCACUUCAUGGUCCUGCUCUCACCUCUGUUGACCCCUCACUUUAAUUCAAGCGCGUGCUUUCGGCUGAAUAUGAAUUAGUCCUGGCCUCUUUACAACCACAUGGAGAACAUCAUCUGCUUGAAAUUACUAAUGACUCAGAAUUGGUGAGCCCUGAGUUUGGACAGGACUGUUUGUAUCAUUUUGAGGCUGUCUGCCCCUCCCAACUUUUCUGAGAAUUUUUAUACCCACAGCGUGGAUGGUCUCUGUCAUCAGAGAGAUUUUACGUUUGAAUCAUGAGACUCCACCCCUAUGAACAUUGUAGAUUGAAUCAGGACUGAACACCUGACUCAAGAGAAGCAAGCCUACGGUCAUGUCAGUGGUCUCUCAGAUUUUCAGGAAAGAUCAAACUAAAGAAAAAAAAAAAAAAACGAAAAAGAAAGAAACACAGCUCAGAGCUGAGUCAUCACAGUGGACCUGGCUUGGAGCUGAUUUCAUCUCCACCCUUCCUGCAGCCUCGUUGCUCAAUUUUUCCUUGGAUUCAAUGAGAGCUGAAUUCUUUCCCAAAUCCCCUAUAACCUGAGCUAAUCAAGAAGGUUCCGUUUACUUUUCAAUCAAGAGGAUGCCGCCUCGGAGUACCACAUUGUUCAGCUCCUCAUUCCGCUUGAAAUCAAGUGUUCAUCGUCAUCUUCUUGCAUACCAUCCAAACAAGAAUCUCACUACUUCUCCAGGCAACUCGUCUCAUAUUGGACAACUCCACUUCUUUGAAGCCUGGGGCUGGUGGAGUCCACUGGAGCCUGAAAAAUGACCACUCCAUCUGAUAAAGUCCAAGUCUGAAAUGUGCCACUCAUUGGCCACCAAGGCCUAAAAGAAGAAAGUCAGAGUCUUGAAACUCAUGGGAGAGGAAGUGGAGAGAGAGCCACGGGGCCAAACUGCAAAGGUUUCCAAUUCAGCUUUUUGACAGGAGACCACCAGAGAGAAAGGAAUGAAGAAGGGUCAUGGCAGGGUUGUACCAACUCUAUGCCUUAGGCUCGGGAAAGCAGGCAGAGCGAAAGAGGCCAGUCAGCUGUGCGGAGCCGGUGAACCUACAGUGACCCGGCUCACUAGUGAACGUGGCCUGGUCCAUAAAGCAGACUCAAGCCUAUGGGGCCUGUGUUUUUCCUCUUGGAGAGCAGCAGGAUGGAGCUGGAAGAGCAUUCCUCCCCGCAGCUCCCCUCCUGCCCACCAAGUGUCUCACAUCGUGUAUAGAGCUUAAAGGCCUUCCCAGAUGGUGCUAGUGGUAAAGAACCCACCUGCCAAUGCAGGAGACAGAAGAGACAUGGGUUCAAUCUCUGAUUCGGGAAGAUCCGCUGGAGGAGGGCAUGACAACCCGCUCCGAUAUUCUUGCCUGGAGAAUCCCAUAGACAGAGAAGCCCAGUGGGCUACAGCCCAUGGGGUCACAAAGAAUCAGACAUGACUGAAGCAACUUAACACACAUAGAGUUUAAAAGAACAAGGAAGGGACUUCUCUGGUGGUCCAGUGGUUAAGAAGUUCACCUUCUACUACAGGAGGUGCUAGUUCCAUCCCUGUUCAGGGAACUAAGAUCUUACAGGCUGCCCAGUGCAGCCAAAAAAAAAUUUUUUUUUUAAUAAAAAUGAAAGAAAAAGGAAAAGGUAACCUCACGAGGACUGUUUGGAACAGAGUUCAAAUUCUCCUAUAAGUUUAUGUGCUAUUUGACUUCUCUCCAAACAGUCACUUUCCAUAUCUUUUCAAGAUGGGGCUCAUUUUUCUUUUCCUCUUUUUUUUUUUUUUCUUUUCAGCUUGCAGGAUCUUCCUUCCCCAACCAGGGAUCAGACCUGGCCUGGCAGUGAUAGCACCAAGUCCUAACCACCGGUUCACCAAGGAAUUCCCAAGAUGGGACUCAUUUUUCACAUAGGUGAAGUAAGAUAAGCAAUUGGAGAAGGAGAUGGCAACCCACUCCAAUAUUCUUGCCUGGGAAAUCCCAUGGACAGAGGAGCCUCGUGGGUUACAGUCCAUGGAGCUACAGAGGGUUGUACAUGACUGAGCGAUGGAGCAGACACAAGAUAGGCAAUAAACAGAGCUUAUGUGUCUGAUUCUUUGUGACCCCAUGGACUGUAGCCCGCCCAGCUCCUCUGUCCAUGGGAUUUCCCAGGCAAGAAUACUGGAGUGGGUAGCUAUCCCUUUCCAGGGGAUCUUCCCCAUCCAGCGAUGGAGUCUUGGUCACCUGCUUUGCAGGUGGAUUCUUUACCAUCUGAGCUGCCAGGGAAGGCUUUUGAAGCCACUACUAACAGCCCAUCUACUACAUGUGGGCUGUUUCUGCUAUUCAAUGCCAGGUGUCAAAGGACAAAUUUUGCUUUCCCAAGCAAAAUUUUUGCUUUCCUUUCCAAGAAAAAAAAGAUAAAUUAUUUAGGGAUGAGAUGGGACACUUGCCUUGUGAACUAAAGAUUGCUUUUAUCUCCUGAAACUUGGUUUCUCAGUAAGACUGUUUUCUACUUUUAGAGGCAUUGCUUGUUUAUAUUCUAACCAAUCUAUUUUUUUCAAAGUCAAUGCCUCCAU
ensembl:lncRNA